UACGUAGGGGGCGAGCGUUGUCCGGAAUUACUGGCGUAAAGCGUGCGCAGGCGGUUAUGCAAGACAGAGGUGAAAUCCCCGGGCUCAACCUGGGAACUGCCUUUGUGACUGCAUAGCUAGAGUACGGUAGAGGGGGAUGGAAUUCCGCGUGUAGCAGUGAAAUGCGUAGAUAUGCGGAGGAACACCGAUGGCGAAGGCAGUCCCCUGGGCCUGUACUGACGCUCAUGCACGAAAGCGUGGGGAGCAAACAGG
rnacentral:rRNA from 1 species